rnacentral:rRNA from 1 species
GAGUUUGAUCAUGGCUCAGGAUGAACGCUGGCGGCGUGCCUAAGACAUGCAAGUCGAGGGGGUUUAGACCCCCGGCGAACGGGUGAGUAACACGUGGGAACUUUCGUUAAGCUCGGGAUAACCUCUAGAAAUGGAGGACAAUACCGGAUGUGGUCGUAAGACUAAAGAUUUAUCGCUUAACGUAAGGCCCGCGGCCCAUCAGCUAGUUGGUAAGGUAAUGGCUUACCAAGGCUAUGACGGGUAGCGGAACCGAGAGGUUGAUCCGCCACACUGGGACUGCGACACGGCCCAGACUCCUACGGGAGGCAGCAGUUUGGAAUUUUGGACAAUGGGCGAAAAGCCUGAUCCAGCGACGCCGCGUGCACGAAGAAGGCCUUGGUUGUAAAGUGCUUUGUGGGAAAAGUUUAGUAUUGUACCCACAGAAUAAGAGGUUGCUAACUCUGUGCCAGCAGCCGC